UCCAUAAGCACAGACGAAGGAUAUCAAUGAUCUGGAAACAUUCUGUAUAGAGGAAUGGUCUUAGAUCCCUCCCAUGUGUUCUCCAUUCUCAUCAAGCAUUUUAGAAAAAUACUCGUAUCAUUAUCCUCGAGCUUGCAAGGUGAGGGUACUUUUAAAAAUAUUUUUUUUUCUUACUUGUUAAACAAAAUCUCUUUCUCUGAUUAAUUGUGUUAGUAUAAAAUAACAAUUUGUCCGUUUUUUAGCAUACAAUAUAGCUCAGUACUUGUAUUAUUUAUUUAUUGUAUUUUUGCUAAUAUUUAUCAAGGGAUCAAAUCAUUUGGGACCCCACUGUAUAUAUAAUAAUAAUAUAUGCCAUUUAGUAGACGCUUUUUUUUGCAUCAAUUUCACAUUCCUUUGUAUAUAGACUUCAAUGUAACAGUUUGAAUGCAACGGUUAGUAAUGGAACAGUUUGAAAGCAACAGUUUCAGCAUUAUUCUACUAUUACGCACGACAGUUUGCCCAAACUAUUUUGAGGUCUCCAAAGUGUACAUAACCUAGCCCCCGAUUGGGGCGCAUCUAACCUAAACCUGUCCACGUUGCUCCCCUGCACCUAUAAUCUCUCCAACUCCAACGAAACCGAAAGAAACCAAAAAAGUGAUUGAUUGAUCGUGGAAAUUGUCCUCGACUUGAUGGGACUGGAGUUUGCUGAAAUCCUAAGCCCACCGCUAGUAACCCAUGACAGAGAGGGAAACUAGAGACGCCAAUAUGAUUUCGGCGAUGUUGGGUAACCACUGAACUUCGGGAAAAUCACUGCACAUCCUGGGUCCGCUUGCCAACGCGUUGAGCCAUGAAAGCGUUUUUAAACACCCAAAUAGGCUACUAACCUUUUGGAUACAAUGUACACAGCCCGAUCACGAAUAACUCCCGCAGCUCCUGCUGGCUCCCGAGGACACGGAUUUGCUUGUCUGAAGAUCAUCCUAUAGAAAAUGAUAAAUGUAUGUGAACGGGCCUGUGCUCCGUAGCGUCGUGGUGUUUCUGCUGUUGGGUGUCUCCUACAGUAAGCGCAGGUGCAACUACACGGAUAUACUCAGCACGUACAGAGAACUAAUCUUCGUUGAACUUCAGAAUUUGAAUCUGACAGGCACUUUUGACACACCCAAAGAGAGGGACCAUUGUCCCUCAGGAAAGCUGCAGCACGUGUUGCGCUCCAUCCAUGGUAUGACGGAGCAGUUCCUGUGCCAGGGCUGGGACCAGGGACACGGGCGGGGCAGCAGACAGCAGAGGGGCAUGAAGAAGCCAGUGGAGAUGAUGGCAGUGCUGAUCAGACAGAACUGCAGGCACACUGACCUGGUGAGGAGACAGAAGAGAACAGCGCCGUGUGUGACUGCCCAGAGGACGAAGGGAAAGAAUAGGACGAGGAUGAGACUCAUCAGGGCACUGAUAAACUGUUGGCAGAAGCUGCAGAGUUUGUACACACCCACAAAAUAAUUUGAAAAAAAAGUUAUAUUUUUAUCAAAAUUGUUUGAAAAAAGCAUUUAUGGAUUGUGUUUGGUUCUUAUUUGGUAGAGUAGAAUGACAGUUUGUAUGUCAGGAAUGGCCCUCUGUUUAUGACCUUUUACUUCUUGUCUGUACAGUCCCACAUGUAUAAGCUAUAGGUCACCAUAGAUCAGGGAUGGGCCACUUUGAUGUGGGCCGGGGCCACAAAGAAAACAAACUGAUCAUGCUUACUAUAAGUUUAGAUAGCUAGCCGCUAGACUAACUUGCCAAUCUAAAAAUGUUUUAAAGACUUGGGCUAAUUAAGUGACUGCUGAUGCACAACCACAUGUCGAAAUUGCACCUUGUGUAAUCUAUUAUUCUAACUCUUAUCAGUAAGUUGAGACCCGACUGAGUUGCCCCAUUAAUUAUGGUUGUUAGAGGAUGGUUUUACAAUGCAGUGAAAAUAUUUACUUGUAAUACCUUGGUGCACACACAUUUUAUAACUCUUAGCUAUCUCACAAUCCAGAUAUUGUUUUUGUGAAACCGAUAGAUACAUUUGCUGUUCUAUGAAAUGUAUUCAAGAUGCCCACUGAUAAAGGUUUCAUAAACUGCACCAUUGGUUGUUUAUUCCUGUAAUGAUCAAAACAUGGGCCAUUACUAGAUACCUAUUGUUUAGUUCUCUUGUUAUAAGAAAUUGUUAUCAAAAUGGACAAAAACAAGAAACUUCCCAAGUUGCAUAACUUCCAGAACGUUUCUCAUUCUAGGUUUUUGUUUCUGUGGGGAAAGAUAUUCCACAUGCACAGUCAUGUUAAUAUGAACUCUGUAGCACUGUUAGUGCUAUCCUGGAUCCUUGGGACGUCCAUACCAUAAACUUUUAUUUAAUUUUUUUAUUUAUUUAUUUCACCUUUAUUUAACUAGGUAGGGAAGUUGAGAACAAGUUCUCAUUUACAACUGCAACCUGGCCAAGAUAAAGCAAAGCAGUUUGACACAUAUAACAACACAGAGUUACACAUGGAGUAAAACAAACAUACAGUAGAAAAAUAAGUCUAUAUACAAUGUGAGCAAAUGAGGUGACAUAAGGGCAAUAAAUAGGCCAUGGUGGUGAAGUAAAUACAAUAUAGCAAUUAAAACACUGGAAUGGUAGAUUUGACAGUAGAUGAGUGUGCUAAGUAGAAAUACUGGGGUGCAAAGGAGCAAAAUAAAUAAAUAAAUAAAUACAGUAGGGGAAGUGGUAGUUGUUUGGGCUAUUUAUAGAUGGGCUACGUACAGGUGCAGUGAUCUGUGAGCUGCUCUGACAGCUGGUGCUUAAAGCUAGUGAGGGAAAUAAGUGUUUCCAGUUUCAGAGAUUUUUGUAGUUCGUUCCAGUCAUUGGCAGCAGAGAACUGGAAGGAGAGGCGGCCAAAGGAGGAAUUGGCUGCUGGCUGCUGGAGGGAGUAGUCGUGCUGUACUUCGCUCCGCGGGUAAUAUUACUUUUCAUUACAUUACAUUAUAACGGAAUGAUUUGAUUAGUGUAAUGUUAGCUAGCUAGCUACAUAGUGGUCUACAUAGUUGUCUUUGCAUCAAGGAUAAAGGUGUAGCUAAAGGUGUAGGUGUAGCUUUGAGAAACUAACAAGGUUAGCUAGCCAGCUGUACUCGUUCGUUCGCGCCGUUUUCUAAACGGCGUCAACACCACAACACCACAGCCACUGCUAGCUAGCCAACUUUACCAACUAGCAGUACUGUAGAAACUAAAUACAUUACAACGGAACGAUUUGAUUAGUGUAAUGUUAGCUAGCUACAUAGUUGUCUAUGUAUCAAAGAUAAAAGAUAAAGGUAAACGCAGCCACUGCUAGCUAGCCAACUCUAGCAGCUAGCAGUACUGUAUCAUUUUUAGUCAAUAAGAUUUUUGCAAUGUAAGCUUAACUUUCUGAACUUUCGAGUCGUGCAUUCCACUUGUGUAGCUAGCAGGACUGACUUUGUGUUAGCUAGCCAACGUUUAAUUACUUCUGCGUUAUGAAAGGAACUAGACACGGACACGAAUGAUCCAUUGGUAGUUUGUUGUAACCAAGUAUUGGUGCUAAACGUGUGUUAUUGGAUGCUAGCAUGCUAGUUAGCUACGGCGUCAUAGGACACGGUGCACUGGGUGGGUUUCACGGAAGAAUACUGUACCAAGUUAUCUAGCUGAAUAAACUAAGUUUGGGCCUGUUCCUGGAAACAUUGAACCACUGUAGUUUACAUCAAUUAUAAUUUUUAAAGUGGAAGUUGGAAGAGUUAGAUCUGAGUGUUUCAGUGAAAGGUUAGUGAGGGAGGCCCUGCUCUCUCGCUUCCCCAGUUGUUUAGUUAAUUUUCAU
rnacentral:lncRNA from 8 species